AUAGACCGCCCCCAAAACCGUACC
rnacentral:siRNA from 1 species